UACGAAGGACCCGAGCGUUAUCCGGAUUUAUUGGGUUUAAAGGGUGCGUAGGCGGAUUUACAAGUCAGUGGUGAAAUCUCCCAGCUUAACUGGGAAACUGCCAUUGAAACUGUUUAUCUUGAGUACAUUUGAGGCGGGCGGAAUGUGUCAUGUAGAGGUGAAAUUCUUAGAUAUGACACAGAACACCAAUUGCGAAGGCAGCUCGCUAAACUGUAACUGACGCUGAGGCACGAAAGCGUGGGGAGCAAACAGG
rnacentral:rRNA from 1 species